rnacentral:rRNA from 1 species
UGGGGAAUAUUGGACAAUGGGGGCAACCCUGAUCCAGCAAUGCCGCGUGUGUGAAGAAGGUCUUCGGAUUGUAAAGCACUUUCGACGGGGACGAUGAUGACGGUACCCGUAGAAGAAGCCCCGGCUAACUUCGUGCCAGCAGCCGCGGUAAUACGAAGGGGGCUAGCGUUGCUCGGAAUGACUGGGCGUAAAGGGCGUGUAGGCGGUUUACACAGUCAGAUGUGAAAUCCCCGGGCUUAACCUGGGAGCUGCAUUUGAUACGUGUAGACUAGAGUGUGAGAGAGGGUUGUGGAAUUCCCAGUGUAGAGGUGAAAUUCGUAGAUAUUGGGAAGAACACCGGUGGCGAAGGCGGCAACCUGGCUCAUGACUGACGCUGAGGCGCGAAAGCGUGGGGAGCAAACAGGAUUAGAUACCCUGGUAGUCCACGCUGUAAACGAUGUGUGCUAGAUGUUGGGUACUUUGUUAUUCAGUGUCGCAGUUAACGCGUUAAGCACACCGCCUGGGGAGUAUGGCCGCAAGGUUGAAACUCUAAAGUGAAUUGGCGGGGGUC